GGGCGUAAGAGCUCGUAGGCGGUCUGUCACGUCGGCUGUGAAAACCCGAGGCUCAACCCUCGGGCCUGCAGUCGAUACGGGCAAACUAGAGUACUGCAGGGGAGACUGGAAUUCCUGGUGUAGCGGUGAAAUGCGCAGAUAUCAGGAGGAACACCGGUGGCGAAGGCGGGUCUCUGGGCAGUAACUGACGCUGAGGAGCGAAAGCGUGGGGAGCGAACAGGAUUAGAUACCCUGGUAGUCCACGCCGUAAACGUUGGGCGCUAGGUGUGGGGGCCAUUCCACGGUCUCCGUGCCGCAGCUAACGCAUUAAGCGCCCCGCCUGGGGAGUACGGCCGCAAGGCUAAAACUCAAAGGAAUUGACGGGGGCCCGCACAAGCGGCGGAGCAUGUUGCUUAAUUCGAUGCAACGCGAAGAACCUUACCUAGGCUUGACAUGCACGGAAAUCUCGUAGAGAUACGGGGUGCCUUUGGCGUCGUGCACAGGUGGUGCAUGGUUGUCGUCAGCUCGUGUCGUGAGAUGUUGGGUUAAGUCCCGCAACGAGCGCAACCCUCGUUCUAUGUUGCCAGCACGUGAUGGUGGGGACUCAUAGGAGACUGCCGGGGUCAACUCGGAGGAAGGUGGGGAUGACGUCAAAUCAUCAUGCCCCUUAUGUCUAGGGCUGCAAACAUGCUACAAUGGCCGGUACAAAGGGCUGCGAUACCGCGAGGUGGAGCGAAUCCCAAAAAGCCGGUCUCAGUUCGGAUUGGGGUCUGCAACUCGACCCCAUGAAGUUGGAGUCGCUAGUAAUCGCAGAUCAGCAACGCUGCGGUGAAUACGUUCCCNGGNCCUUGUACACACCGCCCGUCACGUCACGAAAGUCGGUAACGCCCGAAGCCGGUGGCCCACCCUUGUGGAGGGAGCCGUC
rnacentral:rRNA from 1 species